CCUCAAACUCCUUGAAUCUUAGAUCUAAGAAAUUUUCUCGUCAUUUUUUUGCCCAAAUUCUUGAAGCUCCAACCACGACCACCCCACAAUACUUACAUCAAUGGAUAGAGCCCCUAAAGACCUAACUAUUGAUGCCAAUUUCACCCUGAAAAUCCGGCGAUCAAAAUACGGCCAAAUUCCGGCGACCUCCCCGAACACCCUCUUUUGGCAUACCACCAUUUUUUCGGCCACUUGAAUUAUAAAAUGAUAUUUUCACAUUAACAAGAGAACUCAUCUUGAUUGCUCGGAGCAUGUCCAUUUAAAUAAAUGAGUGCUUAGCUAAAUUUCUUUAUUGUUUAAAUAUAUCUUGUUGUAGUUCAUAUGUAAAAUAAAUCCUUGGUUGAUCAAACACUCUUUAUUCA